UGUAUGGUUAAGUGACUAAGCGUACACGGUGGAUGCCUUGGCAGUCAGAGGCGAUGAAAGACGUAGUAACUUGCGAUAAGCCCAGAUUAGGUAGUAACAACCAUUUGAGUCUGGGAUUUCUGAAUGGGGAAACCCACGUGCAUAAGCACGUAUCCUUACCUGAAUACAUAGGGUAAGGAGGCGAACCGGGGGAACUGAAACAUCUAAGUACCCCGAGGAAAAGAAAUCAACCGAGAUUCCGAAAGUAGCGGCGAGCGAAAUUGGACUAGCCCUUAAGCUUUACACGCGUUAGACGAACGGUCUGGAAAGUCCGACGAUACAGGGUGAUAGUCCCGUAGUUGACGACGUGUGUUCAGUGAAAUCGAGUAGGGCGGGACACGUGAUAUCCUGUCUGAAUAUGGGGGGAC
rnacentral:rRNA from 1 species